AUACGGAGGGUGCAAGCGUUAAUCGGAAUUACUGGGCGUAAAGAGUACGUAGGCGGCCUACUAAGUCAGAUGUGAAAGCCCAGGGCUCAACCUUGGAACUGCAUUUGAAACUGGUAGGCUAGAGUAUGGUAGAGGGGGGUAGAAUUUCUGGUGUAGCGGUGAAAUGCGUAGAUAUCAGAAGGAAUACCAGUGGCGAAGGCGGCCCCCUGGCCCAAUACUGACGCUCAGACCCGAAAGCGUGGGGAGCAAACAGGAUUAGAAACCCUGGUAGUCC
rnacentral:rRNA from 1 species